GAACGGUAUAAUAUGGCCCAGCCCUAUUUGCACCCUACAAAAUAUUAUUGUGAAAAAUGUAAUUUGUUUUGAUUUGACAGAUGUUCCCCUCUGCUAGUCGUAGAACUGGACCUGUCUUGUGUGUGCUGUUGGCACUUUUUGGAUUAUUUUUAAUGGAAAAAUGUGUCUUUGUUUACAGUCAAAUGUAAUGGCAGCAAGUAUCAAGUAUCUAAGCUUUUAGGUUCAAGGUUGGUUGAGCUAAGAGCAGUGCAGUGUCUGCAGUGAGGUUCAGGCUGAGGACAGGGGCGCUCUGGAUUUGGACAGAUGGUUCAUAGAUGAGAGGAAAAGCCCGACUACCCAACCUUUCAAAGGUGGGUCCUCACAAGGUUGACCCUCUAUUUGGUUCCCACAAAGAUAGCUGUGCAAGCACACACGCGCACACACACACACACACACACACAGCUGGAGCGUCAGGGACUGAGUGAAGCUCGUAUUCAGUGUUUCCACCUUCACUGAGGUUAUUCUGCAACUCGUUAAAUACCUGAAACAUCUUUCUUUACUACUUAAUUUUUUUUACAAUGUGAAGUUUAAAAAGGAACAAAAAAUCUGAUUCAAGAUAGAGGUUCUAGUUUUCUCUACCUGAUCCAAGCUGGAACCAUCCUUCAUCAGCUCCUCUGAAUUCAGCCUCAGAUCGGUCCCUGACGGCGGGAUUUCCCAGCCUUUGCGGCGACGUAAACGCAGCACCAAGCCAUCGUGUUCGACUGUUCUCUCUUUACAGCAUGACUCUAUUUUUCUAUCAGAGAUAAUGUGUUUAUAUUGCGUAUAAGAUUUAAAGAGUGAUGAAGCCUUAAAGAUUUCAGCUGCAGCAGAAGAAAGAUGCAUCCUCAUUUAAAAAAAGAAAGAAAGAAAAAAGAUACUACCUGUUGUGUAUCUUUCUUUCAGAGCAUGAUGAUGAAAAAUAAGCCAUUUAUAACUUUGUGUAUUGAGUUUUGGACGCAGGGUUUGAGUCUGACAUGUUUAACUUCAAGCUAACCUUUCUCUCACCAGCAGAACAUGACGAAUGUCUUUAUAUCGAUUAGAAACUGCUUUGCAUUCUGGGUAAUGUCCAGAUUUCUGUUUUUGAAACUCAUCACCAUCUGAGCGAACUUGACGAGGGGUCUGCUUUGCAAACGCUGCCUGUAUGCAGAUGAAAGAUGCUUGCAAAGUGACAUUUGAGGAAAUACUUCACCUGCAGGCCUUUAAGUCUUAAAACAAUAUUUUCAGACGUCUUUAAUUCACAGAAGUCUUAAACUGUCUCUCUCGAAUGUGAAUCACUGAAAGGAAAGCACGUUAUGGAAGAGGCAAAGCAAACCCCUGCCUCCAGUUACAUAAGGCAUCUUUUCACUGUAGGGGCAAAGUGUUGUAAAGGUAUCUGCCUUAACAAAGUUCUUGGGCGCUUUCUCCAGGUUUAAAGAAUCAGAAUCGAAGCCACUCAGCGGUUCCUACCCCGAAAAGGGUUUCUGUAGAGUUGGUUCCUGAGAUCUGAACAUGCGAAGAUUGAAAGCCAAAACAGCCGGCUGGUUCCUGCAGUCAGAGGCGGUCUGUGGACAUGUACUCAGGAUUUGGUGAUGAGUUUCACUUCAUAAACAUCAUCAGUUAGAUUUUCUGCUCUGGUUUCUUGACAUUUAUAAAGGAAGCCGUUCCUUAAAUCCAGUGAGGAACAUCUGUUGUUCCUGAGCUUUCUGUCUGUUCACUUGAGGCCUGGAGUUUUCUCAGUGGUUUUCAUCUCAUAAACCAAAAGUUGUUUGGGUUUUUCACGUUGACGUCCAAAGCCUGGACAGACUUUGCUGCCGGUCAUUCUGCAUUUGAGCGUACCGUCCAGCUGCACUUCAGAAACUGUUCGUGUGCAAACCAGCUCAGUGCAACUUAAUGAAUCUUUGUCUUACUGUAACACUGUUUAGAAUUAUAGUAACUUUGAUAUGGUAAUACAUCUAAUGUAUGACUUGUUCAAUGACAAAACAUAACAUGAAAAAUGAAUAAAUAUUCACGCCUCUUUUAAGACAGUGAUUUCUUUUUAUAACUAAUAUUUAUAAUCUGCUUCCUGUUAUCAUAUGUAUGUAUCUGCUUUACUUUUUAGUAAUUUAAAUAUGAAAUAGGUCAUUCAUGCUGGGAAGUAUGAGCAGCUUCUUGUUAUAAUGACAAAGAUAGAAUAAAAGUUUAAAAAAAGGCGUAAAAAGAGAAAUUAAAUGAUGACGGUUCUGGUUUUCACCGGGAAGAGUUUUUUGUUAUAACAACAACUGCCUCCUUAUGUCAAAGGUUUGUGGAAAAUAACUAGAAUUUAAGCUUAAAAUCUUUCUUGCCAGAAAAGUUUAACAUUAUGCAAAAAUUAAAAUUUUUAAAUGCUGUCAUUCAGUUACUUUUUUUUAAUUUUGCAAUUUUGAAUUAACAUUUGCACCAGAAUGACAGACAGAAAGCUCCGGAAGCCGAUGGCUGACGCGCCUCCUAAUUGUAAAGAGGUUUUCUGUCCACAGUUUGUGUGGAAAUCUUCACUGUAUAUAGACACAAAAUAUAAUCUGAACAUAUGAAUUUGCUAUAUAUUCUGUACCAUGUGACAGGCCUGACCAAUGGGCUGGGGGUUGUUAAUGACGUGUUGUUCCUGUGGCCUGUCGUUGCUGUCAGAUCCUGCGUGGCCCCUCCCCUCCUCGGCUGUGAUUGGCCAUGGAGUUUAUUGAUGUAAAGUGGUGGGGCCUGCUUUUAUUUUUCUGAGAUAGAGUGCUACAUGUUUAACAUGUUAUUUACUGGAACCAUUUAAAAGAAAAGCUAUUUUUUAUGGACGUGACUUUAGUUUUUGUUGGUGUACCAUGUUAUGCUGAUGAUUCCUCUUGUUUUCUACAAACACACAUGCACACACACUGGGAGGACGGUAAUAAAACUAUUUUGUCCUGUA
ensembl:lncRNA